rnacentral:tRNA from 1 species
GCGGGUAUCGUAUAAAGGCUAUUACCUCUGCCUUCCAAGCAGAUGAUGUCGGUUCGAUUCCGUCUACCCGCUCCA